UUGAACGCUGGCGGCAGGCCUAACACAUGCAAGUCGAGCGGAUGAAGGGAGCUUGCUCCUGGAUUCAGCGGCGGACGGGUGAGUAAUGCCUAGGAAUCUGCCUGGUAGUGGGGGAUAACGUCCGGAAACGGGCGCUAAUACCGCAUACGUCCUGAGGGAGAAAGUGGGGAUCUUCGGACCUCACGCUAUCAGAUGAGCCUAGGUCGGAUUAGCUAGUUGGUGGGGUAAAGGCCUACCAAGGCGACGAUCCGUAACUGGUCUGAGAGGAUGAUCAGUCACACUGGAACUGAGACACGGUCCAGACUCCUACGGGAGGCAGCAGUGGGGAAUAUUGGACAAUGGGCGAAAGCCUGAUCCAGCCAUGCCGCGUGUGUGAAGAAGGUCUUCGGAUUGUAAAGCACUUUAAGUUGGGAGGAAGGGCAGUAAGUUAAUACCUUGCUGUUUUGACGUUACCAACAGAAUAAGCACCGGCUAACUUCGUG
rnacentral:rRNA from 1 species